UACGGGGGGGGCAAGCGUUGUUCGGAAUUACUGGGCGUAAAGGGCUCGUAGGUGGCCAACUAAGUCAGACGUGAAAUCCCCAGGCUUAACCUGGGAACUGCGUCUGAUACUGGAUGGCUUGAAUCCGGGAGAGGGAUGCAGAAUUCCAGGUGUAGCGGUGAAAUGCGUAGAUAUCUGGAGGAAUACCGGUGGCGAAGGCGGCAUCCUGGACCGGCAUUGACGCUGAUGAGCGAAAGCCAGGGGAGCAAACGGG
rnacentral:rRNA from 1 species